GAUGAACGCUGGCGGCGUGCCUAAUACAUGCAAGUCGAGCGCUGAAGGUUGGUACUUGUCCCAAUUGGGUGAGCAGCGAACGGGUGAGUAACGCGUGGGUAAUCUGCCUUUGAGCGUGGGAUAACAUCUGGAAACGAAUGCUAAUACCGCAUAAAAACUUUAAACACAAGGUUCAAGUUUGAAAGAUGCAAUUGCAUCACCCAAUGAUGAUCCCGCGUUGUAUUAGAUAGUUGGUGAGGUAAAAGCCCACCAAGGGGAUGAUACAUAGCCGACCUGAGAGGGGGAGCGGCGACAUUGGGAACGAGACACGGCCCAAACUCCUACAGGAGGGGGCAGUAGGGGAUCUUUGGCGAUGGGGGAGAGACUGACCGAGCAAAGCCGCGUGAGAGAAGAAAGGUUUCGGGUAGUAAAACUCUGUGUGUAGAGGAGAGAGUUAGUGAGAGUGUAACGAUCAUCAAGUGACGGUAACUAAACAAAAAGGGACGGCUAACUACGUG
rnacentral:rRNA from 1 species